UGGGGAAUUUUGGUCAAUGGGCGAAAGCCUGAACCAGCAACGCCGCGUGGGUGAUGAAGGCCUUCGGGUUGUAAAGCCCUGUCGGGAGGGACGAAACAGCAGCGUAAUGAACUGCUUUGACGGUACCUUCAAAGGAAGCACCGGCUAACUCUGUGCCAGCAGCCGCGGUAAUACAGAGGGUGCAAGCGUUGUUCGGAAUUACUGGGCGUAAAGCGCGUGUAGGCGGUUGUUCAAGUCUUGUGUGAAAGCC
rnacentral:rRNA from 1 species